rnacentral:pre_miRNA from 1 species
UUGGAUAAAGAACAAGGAGAUACAGUCAGGAUAUCUCCCUGUUCCUUAUCCCCUU